UUUUAGAAUUUAAUUUAAAGUCUGACCUGCCCACUGAAUUAAUUUAAAUGGCCGCAGUAUUUUAACUGUGCAAAGGUAGCAUAAUCAUUAGUCUUUUAAUUGAAGGCUGGAAUGAAUGGUUGAAUGAAAUAUUAACUGUUUCAUAAAAAAUUUUAAUAAAAUUUUAUUUUUUAGUCAAAAAGCUAAAAUAAAAUUAAAAGACGAGAAGACCCUAUAAAUCUUUAUAUUUAAAUAAUUUUAAUUAUUUAGAUAAAUUAAAUUAUAAUUAUUAAAAAUAUUUUAUUGGGGUGAUAUUAAAAUUUAAUAAACUUUUAAUUUUUGAUUUACAUUAAUUAAUGAAUUUAUUGAUCCAUAAAUUAUGAUUAAAAAAUUAAGUUACUUUAGGGAUAACAGCGUAAUUUUUUUAGAGAGUUCAUAUUGAUAAAAA
rnacentral:rRNA from 1 species